rnacentral:lncRNA from 1 species
AAGAGCAAGGUAGAUCUUUCCAUCUUCUAAGGUCUUCUUUGAUUUCUUUCUUUGGGGUUCUGUGGUUUUCACUGUAUAGAUCUUUCACCUCUUUUGUUAAGUUGAUUCCCAAGUAUCUUAUUUUUUUCGAGGUUAUUGUGAAGGGAGUAGUUUUUCCUCAUUUCUUUCUAAGAGGCUUUGUCACCAAUAUAUAGAAAUGCCUUUGAUUUAUGGGUGUUGAUUUUAUAUCUUUCUACUUUGCUGAAUUCAUUUACUAGUUCUAGAAUUUUUCUGGUGAAGCUUUUUGGGUCUUCUAGGUAUAAAAUCAUAUUGUCAGCAAAUAGUGCUUAUUUAAGUUCUGCUUUUUCUAUAUAUAUCCCUUUAGUUUCUUUUGUCUGUCUAAUUGUUUUGGCCAGUGUUUCAAGAACUAUGUUGAAUAUAAGUGGUGAAAGAGGGCAUCCCUGUCUUGUUCCAGUUUUUAGAGGGAAUGUCUCCAAUUUUUUUCCAUUUAGAAUGAUGUUGGCCUAAGGCUUAAUGUAGAUAUCUUUUAUGAUGUUGAGAUAUGUUCCUGUUAUCCCUAGUUUUUCUAGUGUUUUGAACAUAAAUGGUAUUUUGUUGUGCAGUAUUUUGUCAAAUGCUUUUUCUGCAUCUAUUUGAAAUGAUCAUAUGGUUCUUAUCUUGGAGUCUAUUGAUGUGAUAAAUUACAUUUAUUGAUUUCCAUAUGUAAAACCAACCUUGCAUCCCUGGGAUGAAUCCC